rnacentral:rRNA from 1 species
UGGGGAAUUUUGGACAAUGGGCGCAAGCCUGAUCCAGCCAUUCCGCGUGCAGGACGAAGGCCUUCGGGUUGUAAACUGCUUUUGUACGGAACGAAAAGGCUCUGGCUAAUACCUGGGGCUCAUGACGGUACCGUAAGAAUAAGCACCGGCUAACUACGUGCCAGCAGCCGCGGUAAUACGUAGGGUGCAAGCGUUAAUCGGAAUUACUGGGCGUAAAGCGUGCGCAGGCGGUUAUGUAAGACAGAGGUGAAAUCCCCGGGCUCAACCUGGGAACUGCCUUUGUGACUGCAUAGCUGGAGUACGGCAGAGGGGGAUGGAAUUCCGCGUGUAGCAGUGAAAUGCGUAGAUAUGCGGAGGAACACCGAUGGCGAAGGCAAUCCCCUGGGCCUGUACUGACGCUCAUGCACG